UGGGAAUAUUGCACAAUGGAGGAAACUCUGAUGUAGCGACGCCGCGUGAAGGAUGAAGUAUUUCGGUAUGUAAAGUUCUAUCAGCAGGGAAGAUAAUGACGGUACCUGACUAAGAAGCACCGGCUAAAUACGUGCCAGCAGCCGCGGUAAUACGUAUGGUGCAAGCGUUAUCCGGAUUUACUGGGUGUAAAGGGAGCGCAGGCGGUGCGGCAAGUCUGAUGUGAAAGCCCGGGGCUCAACCCCGGUACUGCAUUGGAAACUGUCGUACUAGAGUGUCGGGGGA
rnacentral:rRNA from 1 species